rnacentral:rRNA from 1 species
AAGGCUUCAGUACGACCCAGUCAGAACUAUAAGUCUCAAAGCCCCGACGAGUAGGGUGGCGUGCCGGUGCGCGUUGAAGGCCAAGACGUGAGUCGGGCUGGAGCCGCCGGUAGUGCAGAUCUUGGUGGUAGUAGCAAGUACUCUGGUGAACCAACCUGGAGCUGUGAGGUCUGGAUCAGGGUUCCAUGUCAACAGUGAUUGAACAUGGGUGAGUCGAUCCUAAGCCAACUGUGAAAGCAGUGACAUCCCGACAAAGGGGCAUUACGUGUGCUGCCUGCUUGCAACCCUCCCACACAUACACACGCACACCCAUGCGUAUUGUUUAGCGCGCUCUCUCUCUCUCGAAAAAGGCUGUCUCUGGUAGAGGCGCACGCACAGUGAUCACAAAACUCCGUGUUGUGUGAGUGCGUGCGUCCGAAAGUCCGUGUCCGGUUACGCUCAAAAGCGUUGUUCGUUAUGUAUAUGUGCAUGAGGGGAGAAGCGGGGUGUGCGUGUUUGGUUUCUGGGUGGGGGCGUGUGAGUUAGCGAUUAUUGCAUGAGCCCCCUGCGUCUGGUUCUAUGUCUGGCGAAAGGGAAUGGGGACUUUGUUCCUUGACCGGUCCCGGCACCCUCGAUAGGCUUUGCCAAUCAAUGGUCCAUGCAAAUGGAACCAGGCCACAGCCGCCGGCAGUCGCCCGAGGAAGAGUUUUCUUUUCUGCUUAACGCACGAGAUCAUCCCUGGAAACAGUUCGGCUGGCGAAAGGGUGCCCCGUUGCGGCAGAGCGCCACGACUGUCGUGCGCGUCUCGGUGUUCCUGCCGGUCCGUGAAGACGUGGUCGAGGGGAUUGCUCUUGUAUCAACGAAACGCCCGACAAGUUCGGGACGGACCGUACCCUAUAUCCGCAUCUAGUCUCCAAGGUUCGUAGCCUCUGCAGAGUCAGACACAUGUAGGUAAGGGAAGUCGGCAAACUCGAUCCGUAACUUCGGGAAAAGGAUUGGCUCUGAGGGCCGAGCUGGGCCGGGCCUUGCCUGCAAAGCAGUACCUAUAGUGACCGGAGUUUCAGGAGUGCGAGGGGCUCUAGUAGCUGCCCGCGUUCGCGUGGGCACGAACGAGUCCACCGCUCCGCUCCAACCACGAACGGCUGUGACGGCAAGGGCUCUGGGCGGGAGCGUUCAAACCGUUGGCCCCCAGCUCGUCUGGGUGGCGGCGGUGCUCCGUCUGACCCAUACGGCUCCAGCGGCUAGCGGCUAACUCAGAACUGUCAUGGACCAAGGGAAUCCGACUGUCUAAUUAAAACAAAGCGUCGUGACGGCCCCUGUUGGGUGUUGACGCGACGUGAUUUC